ensembl:lncRNA
GCCGCCUCUACACUCUAACCACUAGGCUACCUGCCACCUCUACACUCUAACCACUAGGCACCUGCCGCCCCUUGUGGAUUCACCUGUACAUUUCUACGUAUUUAUUAUUCAUUUAAAACAACUCUUUUCAACCUAAUAUUUAUUUCUGCAUUCAUCUAUUUAUUUAUAUAUCUGUUUACAUAAAAUACUUCAUUUCAAUGUAUAAUAUAGCAGAACUGUUGGUGCCCGUUUUGUUUAAAUCAACCACAGUUGCCCCCUGUUCAGUGUCACUCACUCAGAUUAGUGGUAAAACGGCCCCCUCUAGAGGUGUAAAGGACAAUGUACAUCUAUUCUGUAGAGUAAAGGCUGGAUACACUAAAUCAGUGGCCACCAACCGGUCAAUUGUGAUCGGCUGGUUGAUCUCCAAGGCAUUUCCAGUCGAUCACCAAACAUUUCUGUAAAAAAAAACAACAAUAAAGCUUUGCAUUCCUAUUAUUUUUCUCUGUUGGGAGUAGGUGCACUUGAUUCAGCAGUCCUAACGCCAGGAAGGCAAAGUCAUCAGAUUUUGAACCAUUCCAUGUGUCUGAAGGUAGAACUCCGCCUACCCAGGAGUCCCAGAAAGCAAAUCAAGUGCAUCUAUAGGCCUACCUCUAGCCAACCAGAUAGCUCAGGUCACAAAGAUUCCUCGCGCAAUAGACAAUAAAAAAAUAACUUAAUGCAAAGUUGAUACUGUAAGACUUCUAUUUUUUUUUUAACCAUGACUAGAGAGAGAGACAACAAAUACAGCAAACAGUCUUUGUACGAUUAAGUUCAUGUUUAAGUUGUUAUUCAGCACUUUGUUCAAUCUUUUUGUAAGCCAUAAAAUGUGCAUUCUCCCUACUUCCACUCACGGGACAACCAGCACUGCAGCUGCAAUGAAUGAGCAUAGCAAAGUGUUCCGAAACGCCUGUGUUGUUGCUAUUAGCAGCUUGUGUCUUUUUAGCAUCAAGGAAUAUUUCACUUUCUCUGGUCAGUAACAAUAUGAAUUGGUGCAUGAGGUGACUUGAGUUUGGUCAUCAGCUGGACGACUAUGUCCCCUUAUCUCAGCUGGACGACUGUGUCCCCUCAGUCUGAGGGAGGGAGAGCAGCGGGAAAGUGGAGUCAGAUGACAGGCAGACUGCUCUCCCUCCCCUCAGACUGAGCAUCAGAUGACAGGCAGACUGUUCUCCCUCCCCUCAGACUGAGCAUCAGAUGACAGGCAGACUGUUCUCCCUCCCCUCAGACUGAGCAUCAGAUGACAGGCAGACUGCUCUCCCUCCCCUCAGACUGAGCAUCAGAUGACAGGCAGACUGUUCUCCCUCCCCUCAGACUGAGCAUCAGAUGACAGGCAGACUGCUCUCCCUCCCCUCAGACUGAGCAUCAGAUGACAAGCAGACUGUUCUCCCUCCCCUCAGACUGAGCAUCAGAUGACAGGCAGACUGCUCUCCCUCCCCUCAGACUGAGCAUCAGAUGACAGGCAGACUGUUCUCCCUCCCCUCAGACUGAGCAUCAGAUGACAGGCAGACUGCUCUCCCUCCCCUCAGACUGAGCAUCAGAUGACAGGCAGACUGUUCUCCCUCCCCUCAGACUGAGCAUCAGAUGACAGGCAGACUGCUCUCCCUCCCCUCAGACUGAGCAUCAGAUGACAGGCAGACUGCUCUCCCUCCCCUCAGACUGAGCAUCAGAUGACAGGCAGACUGCUCUCCC